GAUGAACGCUGACAGAAUGCUUAACACAUGCAAGUCUUUGGCGAAGCUGUGCUUGCACAGCCUAGCCAAGGCGGACGGGUGAGUAACGCGUAAGGAACUUGCCCUGCAGUCAGGGAUAACAGACGGAAACGACUGAUAAGACCUGGUAAAGUCAGGCGGACUCAUGUCCAGCCUGAUGAAAAGAGAUGCUGCAGGAGAGCCUUGCGUCCUAUUAGCUUGUUGGUGGGGUAACGGCCCACCAAGGCGAUGAUAGGUAGCCGGCCUGAGAGGGUGGACGGCCACAAGGGGACUGAGAAACGGCCCUUACUCCUACGGGAGGCAGCAGUGGGGAAUAUUGGACAAUGGGGGCAACCCUGAUCCAGCAAUUCUGUGUGCACGAUGAAGGUUUUCGGAUUGUAAAGUGCUUUCAGCAGGGAAGAAAAAAAUGACGGUACCUGCAGAAGAAGCGACGGCUAAAUACGU
rnacentral:rRNA from 1 species